rnacentral:rRNA from 1 species
AAUAGAUACCCUGGUAGUCCACGCCAUAAACGAUGAGUGCUAAGUGUUAGGGGGUUUCCGCCCCUUAGUGCUGCAGCUAACGCAUUAAGCACUCCGCCUGGGGAGUACGGUCGCAAGACUGAAACUCAAAGGAAUUGACGGGGGCCCGCACAAGCGGUGGAGCAUGUGGUUUAAUUCGAAGCAACGCGAAGAACCUUACCAGGUCUUGACAUCCCAUUGACCGCUAUGGAGACAUAGUUUUCCCUUCGGGGACAGUGGUGACAGGUGGUGCAUGGUUGUCGUCAGCUCGUGUCGUGAGAUGUUGGGUUAAGUCCCGCAACGAGCGCAACCCUUGAUCUUAGUUGCCAUCAUUUAGUUGGGAACUCUAAGGUGACUGCCGGUGACAAACCGGAGGAAGGUGGGGAUGACGUCAAAUCAUCAUGCCCCUUAUGACCUGGGCUACACACGUGCUACAAUGGACGGUACAAACGGUUGCCAACCCGCGAGGGGGAGCUAAUCCGAUAAAACCGUUCUCAGUUCGGAUUGUAGGCUGCAACUCGCCUAC